rnacentral:RNase_P_RNA from 1 species
GUAUUCAGGUAAUCGAGCACUAUUGUUUACCAAUAGUGUUAGGAAAGUCCUUGCUAGCACAAGCUGAGAUGCUUGUAGUGUUUGUGCCUGACGAAAUCAUAAGUCAGGGCGCCUUUUGGGAUGGGCGACGGCGAAGAUACGACCUGUAAAAUGGUCAAAGUCUUCAUAAAGUGCCACAGUGACGAUGCCUUAGGGAAACUUAAGGAGUGGAACGGGUAAACCCCACAAGCUAGAAACCCAAAUUAUGGUAGGGGAACCCUAAAUCAAGAAUAGGAAUUGAUUUAGGGCUAUACACUUCAUGUGUAUAGAGAUAGAUGAUUACCACUUUACUUAAUUAAUUAUAACUAAUUAAUUAAGUAAAGACAGAACAAGGCUUAUGAA